CCAUCCUCAUCAGCCCGAGAGCUGUCACAGCCACAAGACUGGGGUCUCUUUUGUGGAAGAAGGCAAUGUGAAAGACAUACUUCUGAACCGUCUUGUUGAGACUGUGUCACCCUGAUAAACCACCGAUCCAGAGACAUGUUACUGCAGCCUGGUGGCUCAGGUGUUUGUAUGAAGAAUGGAUGCAGGUGUCUGAUGGCAUCAGGCCCUUAAGACUGGGCUGGGAGGAACGGUGGGUCAGCUGCACCUGAGCUUGCCUGCUUAGGAGAGGUGCUUCCCACUUCAGUUAUAGCUGGGUGGUUGAGUGGAGGUUGUGCUGCAAACACUAAAAUGCCUGAGUUUUGGUGAGCACAGCCUUUGGUGUAAAGCUACUGCUGAAUAAUCUAAAGACAGAGCAGAUGUUUCAGAGAGAGAGCAGCAUUCCUUCCACUGGUAGAUGUCCAUGUGAUCCAAAAGCAGAGGUUGAGCUAUUAGGUGCAUUUAAGGUAUUGCAUCUAUCUCAUCAUCCCUCUUGCAUCUGUCCCACCAAGGACAUGUGGCUCUGCAGUCCCUUGGCCUCCUCCUUUUGCCCUAGAGUGGGCUUGGGUGGCAAGAAAGCUGUGUGGCACCUCCAAUUCAUGCCCAUGGGGAUGGAAAGCUGCCAUUCAAUCGUCAUUUGGAGGGAUGCAUCCAACCAGCUGAAUGUACAGUUGGGAUAGCUUAAUGGACAUAGGAUCCUGCACUAAUCUGCCUGGUAUCACUGCCUCCUGCACAAUGCUUUCACAAUGCGGACACAGAGCAGCUCCUGUGGUGGGCACAGGAGCCAACCAUGCAAGAAAUGAAAAGCAAAGACUGUACAGUAUGUUACUGUUACUGAAUGCAAAUGCAGCACGGAUGUUAGCAACACAAAACUAAAUCAGUCUGGCAAGAGGAAAGCCAGCCCUGGACUUGCAUCAGCGGCGCUGAUCUGUGGGUUCCAAGUGUGGCAUCACUGCAGAGCAGGUUGGACGAGGCUCCCUGACCUCCUCUACUUGGCAGGCUUUCUUUUGCAUUUUUGGCUGAGAGACAAACUAAACUGCCCUCCCCAGGCCCUCCAACUGGUCCCAGUACAUCCCGGUGCAGGUGUGCUGGCGGGCAAGGUGAGGAGAGAUUUAAUCACUCCAGCAUAUGGGCAGUGCAGCCCUUCUUGAAGAGCUCCUUAUACCCACCCUGGGGCAUCUGAGUUCCUGAAGCGGGCACAGCCUUUACAGAGUUGGCAAUGGGAUUUGCAGCUUCGCAUCAUCUUAAGGCAGAUUUGAGUGUUAUGCCCAGAUGAAAGAAACCAGCUGGCUGCAACAAAAGCACUGGGCACUCUUCUGAUGGAGGCACUGCAAAGCAAAUCCCAGCUUGCUGCGAGGAAUGGAUACAAUGAGAGUUGUGUGGAAUGGAGGAGAUGCCACUGUGGCUCCUGCUAAAGUGAUAAUGGUGAAAGAAUUGAGCAGGCUCUCUGGUGUCUGCUACUAUCCAUACAUCUCAACCACAGCUUUGAGUAGAACGGAUGAGUAGUAUGAUUGUGACUGGCCUUACAAUAUGUGGGCUAGGAAGAAUUAACUUUGGAGGGGGAACUUAACUCUCCAGAGGCAAUGGAGAAUCUGCUUUAAAUAUCAAGGAGCCUACAAACAUGAACACGUAAGAGCCAAAACAGGAACUGAUGCUCUUUUUCCAGUACAGCUGGCCAUCAAGAUGCCCAUCAUCUGCUCAUUGACUCUCAGCAUCCCAGACACCUCAGAGCUGUUUGUGAGUGUCCACAGAUGUCCGAUUGAUUUAUGGCUGAACGACUGAACAUGCAGCACUACGAGGGCUGGCUUUGCCCUGCUCUUGGCACUGACCAGCACAGCUAUGCCCAGCUCCAGUGAGUCAGCUCAGUGAGCGCUGAGCUCCCGCUGCUCGCCGGGACCACGGGACUCAAAGGCCACCAGCCCGGUUUCGGUGCCCUGGUUUUCUUUGCUCGCCCGGCGGUUCCGCCCCGCGCCCCACCCCGCAGCGGCGUUAAUGAUGGGGUAGGGAUUGCUCUGGGCAGGCAGGAGGUGUGGGUCACUCUGUCGGGGCAGUGAGCUGCGGUCAGUGGGACGCCGUGACACACUGCCCCGAGCUGCAGCCAUCGGGGCUGGGCUGUGCUGCUGGGAGUCCAGGGAUGGCCGGGGGAAGGUGCCCUCAGAGAGCUAGGCAGCAGGUGAUUGGGAUCAGUUUCCCAGUGAUAAGAUUGUUUUCUUCUCCCAAACUCUGGGCCUGGCUCUCUGCAGUUGGGUGCAGCGCUGCCCAGCUCUGUGGCCAGCCCCAGCCCUUCCCCGGCCCAGGGAUCACUGCCAAAGCCCAGCACAGGGCAACCACUGAGCUCCUCUUUCCCUUUUGAAAGCUUAUAUAAAAAUGAUGAUAAGCUAAAUCUAGAUCUAUGCAGCAAUUAUGUGGGAUGCCAGACCUUGCACCUGUAGCAUAAUACAUAACAGAGCCAGCUAACUGCCUUGUCUAAUGAUUGCUCUGAACAGCAUACAAAUCACAUUAUGGGGGGUGAGCUGAGAGCCAUUUUUCAGCUGAAGCUGAUGAGCUUGCAGAGACUUUCUUUGCUCCGUUCUCCCAGACUGCAGGUUUGUCCUCUUCUCCCUGGAAUCCUUCCUGUUAUUUUUCUACCUUCCUGUCACAGGAUGCAACGUUCAUUACAAUAAUAGAUCAAACUUUGAGUGGAAAAACUCUGCUUUACGGUUGUCUUUAGGAUUUCCCAGUUUCAUUUCCUGCAACCCAUAAUGAGCAGGUGGAGUGUUUUCACAGGAUGCUUGGGUGGGCAAGAGAUGCCUAUGAACGUUAUCCCACCCUAACCUCUCAGCUGUCACCUUGAGGUGGGAUAGGCCAUCUCCUGAGGAACCUUAAGCUAGGAGCUUGGAUAACUGGAGAAGACCGGCUCCUGAAUACCAGUCAGGCAAUGGCAGAAGAUGACUCCCGCUUUCAUGAUGGAGAAGACAACUCCCACUCUCUCUGGGAACUUAAAAUGUCCGUCUUGAUUUCUUAACCUGGAAUGUGCUUUGGAAACCCUGUCUGGAGAGUCUGCUUUGUCUCUCUGCACCUAAAUACUUUUGAAGCGUGGUCAGAGAUGUUCCCAACGUGUGCUCUGGUUUCUCUGGUGAGAGACACAGGAGGAAGUUUUGAGGUGGAAGAGCAGCAUUGGUGUCAAUUUGUUUGGAAGGAUUUUUGUGGACUGGACUUCUGUGGGUUUGCCUGCUUCCUGUUACUCUUAUGUUAUCAGCAUGAAAAUAUUAAAUUAUGUGACCAAUAUAGCCAGUAAGACUGGCCACAGCUAUUAUA